rnacentral:rRNA from 1 species
UGAAUACGAGAUGCUACGGCGUCGAAGCAGUCUAUGUCAUACUUCCAAGAAAAGCUCGCACUGUCAUAAACAAAUAAUGCCUGUACCAUAACCGACACAGGUGGGUAGGUAGAGUAUACUAAGGGGCGCGAGAUAACUCUCUCUAAGGAACUCGGCAAAAUGACUCCGUAACUUCGGGAGAAGGAGUGCCUUAUUUAUAAGGUUGCAAUAACAAGAUCCAAGCAACUGUUUAUCAAAAACACAGGUCUCCGCUAAGUCGUAAGACGAUGUAUGGGGGCUGACGCCUGCCCAGUGCCAGAAGGUUAAAGAAGUUGGUUAGCAUUCGCGAAGCUGAUAACUGAAGCCCUGGUGAACGGCGGCCGUAACCAUAACGGUCCUAAGGUAGCGAAAUUCCUUGUCGGGUAAGUUCCGACCCGCACGAAAGGCGUAAUGAUUUGGAUACUGUCUCGGAGAGGGGCUCGGUGAAAUAGACUUGUCUGUGAAGAUGCGGACUACCUGCACCAGGACAGAAGGACCCUAUGAAGCUUUACUGUAACUUGAGAUUGAAAUUGGACUUUACUUGCGCAGUAUAGGUGGGAGGCGUUGAUAAUAUUCUUGCGGGAUUAUUUGAGCCAUCAGUGAGAUACCACUCUUGUAAUGUUAGAUUUCUAACUUUGUAUCAUUAUCUGGUCAAAGGACAGUUUCAGGCGGGCAGUUUGACUGGGGCGGUCGCCUCCUAAACGGUAACGGAGGCGCACAAAGGUUUCCUCUGAACGGGUAGAAAUCGUAUCUAGAGUGUAAAGGCAUAAGGAAGCUUGACUGUGAGACCUACAAGUCGAGCGGGGACGAAAGUCGGUCUUAGUGAUCUGACGGUGCUGAGUGGAAAGGCCGUCACUCAACGGAUAAAAGUUACUCUAGGAUAACAGGCUGAUCUCCCCCAAGAGUUCACAUCGACGGGGAGGUUUGGCACCUCGAUGUCGGCUCAUCGCAUCCUGGGGCGGUAGUACGUCCCAAGGGUUGGGCUGUUCGCCCAUGAAAGCGGUACGCGAGCUGGGUUCAGAACGUCGUGAGACAGUUCGGUCCAUAUCCGGUGUAGGCGUUAGAAUAUUGAGAGGAGCCUUCUUUAGUACGAGAGGACCGAGAAGGACAUACCUCUGGUGUACCAGUUAUCGUGCCAACGGUAAACGCUGGGUAGCUAUGUAUGGAGUGGAUAACCGCUGAAAGCAUCUAAGUGGGAAGCCCACCUCAAGAUAAG